rnacentral:rRNA from 1 species
AUUGAACGCUGGCGGCAUGCUUUACACAUGCAAGUCGAACGGUAACAGGGUGCUUGCACCGCUGACGAGUGGCGAACGGGUGGGUAAUGCGUCGGAACGUGCCGAGUAGUGGGGGAUAACGCAGCGAAAGUUGUGCUAAUACCGCAUACGUACUGAGGUAGAAAGUGGGGGACCUUCGGGCCUCACGCUAUUCGAGCGGCCGACGUCUGAUUAGCUAGUAGGUGAGGUAAAGGCUCACCUAGGCGACGAUCAGUAGCGGGUCUGAGAGGAUGACCCGCCACACUGGGACUGAGACACGGCCCAGACUCCUACGGGAGGCAGCAGUGGGGAAUUUUGGACAAUGGGCGAAAGCCUGAUCCAGCCAUGCCGCGUGUCUGAAGAAGGCCUUCGGGUUGUAAAGGACUUUUGUCAGGGAGGAAAUCCCUAGUGCUAAUAACACUGGGGGAUGACAGUACCUGAAGAAUAAGCACCGGCUAACUACGUGCCAGCAGCCGCGGUAA